GACGAACGCUGGCGGCGUGCUUAACACAUGCAAGUCGAACGGUGAAGGGGUCUGCUUUUGUGGGCCCUGGAUGAGUGGCGAACGGGUGAGUAACACGUGAGUAACCUGCCCCCUUCUUCUGGAUAACCGCAUGAAAGUGUGGCUAAUACGGGACAUUCUGGGUCUGUCGCAUGAUGGGUCUGGGAAAGAUUGCGCCUUUGGGUGUUUUUGGUGGGGGAUGGGCUCGCGGCCUAUCAGCUUGUUGGUGGGGUGAUGGCCUACCAAGGCGGUGACGGGUAGCCGGCCUGAGAGGGUGGACGGUCACACUGGGACUGAGACACGGCCCAGACUCCUACGGGAGGCAGCAGUGGGGAAUAUUGCACAAUGGGCGCAAGCCUGAUGCAGCGACGCCGCGUGAGGGAGGGAGGCCUUCGGGGUGUAAACCUCUUUCGCCAGUGAAGCAGGCCUGCUCCUUGUGGGUGGGUUGACGGUAGCUGGAUAAGAAGCGCCGGCUAACUACGUG
rnacentral:rRNA from 1 species